rnacentral:rRNA from 1 species
GUCCAGACUCCUACGGGAGGCAGCAGUGGGGAAUAUUGCACAAUGGGGGAAACCCUGAUGCAGCGACGCCGCGUGAAGGAAGAAGUAUUUCGGUAUGUAAACUUCUAUCAGCAGGGAAGAAAAUGACGGUACCUGACUAAGAAGCCCCGGCUAACCACGUGCCAGCAGCCGCGGUAAUACGUAGGGGGCAAGCGUUAUCCGGAUUUACUGGGUGUAAAGGGAGCGUAGACGGCAUGGCAAGUCAGAUGUGAAAGCCCGGGGCUCAACCCCGGGACUGCAUUUGAAACUGUCAGGCUGGAGUGCAGGAGAGGUAAGUGGAAUUCCUAGUGUAGCGGUGAAAUGCGUAGAUAUUAGGAGGAACACCAGUGGCGAAGGCGGCUUACUGGACUGUAACUGACGUUGAGGCUCGAAAGCGUGGGGAGCAAACAGGAUUAGAUACCCCAGUA